UACGUAGGCAGCAAGCGUUGUUCGGAGUUACUGGGCGUAAAGGGUGCGUAGGCGGCCCUGUAAGUAUGGUGUGAAAUCUCCCGGCUUAACUGGGAGGGUGCGCUAUAGACUGCGGGACUAGAGGGUGGGAGAGGAAAGUGGAAUUCCUGGUGUAGCGGUGAAAUGCGUAGAUAUCAGGAGGAACACCGGUGGUGUAAACGGCUUUCUGGACCAUUUCUGACGCUGAGGCACGAAAGCGUGGGUAGCAAACAGG
rnacentral:rRNA from 1 species